rnacentral:ncRNA from 1 species
AUGAGGGCGACUGGGCGUGGGGAGGAGGCGUUGAGCGAAACUGCGAGCUGAUGAAAAAGAACCAGAUAGACGGCGCUGCCGGCAGGGCGAUCGGACAAUAAACCGCGAAGCUCAUGUGUGAUCAAGGCGAGGUAGCGUAGAUCCGGCGGUUGUGCGAGGAAGGAAUGCGUU